rnacentral:rRNA from 1 species
CCUACGGGAGGCAGCAGUGGGGAAUAUUGGGCAAUGGGCGCAAGCCUGACCCAGCAACGCCGCGUGAAGGAAGAAGGCUUUCGGGUUGUUAACUUCUUUUCUCAGGGACGAAGAAAGUGACGGUACCUGAGGAAUAAGCCAAGGCUAACUACGUGCCAGCAGCCGCGGUAAUACGUAGGCGGCAAGCGUUCUCCGGAUUUAUUGGGUAUAAGGGGCGUGUAGGCGGGGUGGCAAGGCAGAUGUGAAAACUCCGGGCUCAACCCUGAGCCUGCAUUUGAAACUGUGUUUCUUGAGUGGUGGAGAGGCAAGCGGAAUUCGGGGUGUAGCGGUGAAAUGCGUAGAUAUACGGAGGAACACCAGUGGCGAAGGCAGAUUACUGGACAGUAACUGACGCUGAGGCGCGAAAGCGUGGGGAGCAAACAGGAUUAGAUACCCCAGUAGUC